GGGUUGUGAGGUUAAGCGACUAAGCGUACACGGUGGAUGCCCUGGCAGUCAGAGGCGAUGAAGGGCGUGCUAAUCUGCGAUAAGCGCCGGUAAGGUGAUAUGAACCGUUAUAACCGGCGAUACCCGAAUGGGGAAACCCAGUGUGAUUCGUCACACUAUCAUUAACUGAAUCCAUAGGUUAAUGAGGCGAACCGGGGGAACUGAAACAUCUAAGUACCCCGAGGAAAAGAAAUCAACCGAGAUUCCCCCAGUAGCGGCGAGCGAACGGGGAGGAGCCCAGAGCCUGAAUCAGCAUGUGUGUUAGUGGAAGCGUCUGGAAAGGCGCGCGAUACAGGGUGACAGCCCCGUACACAAAAGCGCAUGUGCUGUGAGCUCGAUGAGUAGGGCGGGACACGUGGUAUCCUGUCUGAAUAUGGGGGGACCAUCCUCCAAGGCUAAAUACUCCUGACUGACCGAUAGUGAACCAGUACCGUGAGGGAAAGGCGAAAAGAACCCCGGCGAGGGGAGUGAAAAAGAACCUGAAACCGUGUACGUACAAGCAGUGGGAGCCCCACCACUAAGCCAGUGGUGAACUCCACAUACGCAUCCUUUGCUGAGGAUACGGUUAACGGAGCGAAAGCGACGUUCAACCGCAAAAGAAGCAGAGGGGGCUUAGUGGUGGGGUGACUGCGUACCUUUUGUAUAAUGGGUCAGCGACUUAUAUUCUGUAGCAAGGUUAACCGAAUAGGGGAGCCGGAGGGAAACCGAGUCUUAAUUGGGCGUUAAGUUGCAGGGUAUAGACCCGAAACCCGGUGAUCUAGCCAUGGGCAGGUUGAAGGUUGGGUAACACUAACUGGAGGACCGAACCGACUAAUGUUGAAAAAUUAGCGGAUGACCUGUGGCUGGGGGUGAAAGGCCAAUCAAACCGGGAGAUAGCUGGUUCUCCCCGAAAGCUAUUUAGGUAGCGCCUCGUGAAUUCAUCUCCGGGGGUAGAGCACUGUUUCGGCUAGGGGGCCAUCCCGGCUUACCAACCCGAUGCAAACUGCGAAUACCGGAGAAUGUUAUCACGGGAGACACACGGCGGGUGCUAACGUCCGUCGUGAAGAGGGAAACAACCCAGACCGCCAGCUAAGGUCCCAAAGUCAUGGUUAAGUGGGAAACGAUGUGGGAAGGCCCAGACAGCCAGGAUGUUGGCUUAGAAGCAGCCAUCAUUUAAAGAAAGCGUAAUAGCUCACUGGUCGAGUCGGCCUGCGCGGAAGAUGUAACGGGGCUAAACCAUGCACCGAAGCUGCGGCAGCGAACGUAUCACUUAAAGCGAUUCAGCGGGUUACGAUUGACGGAGCGAAGCGACGUCAAAGCGUAUACAAAGUCGAGUCGGUUUAAGGAUACGUUCGUUGGGUAGGGGAGCGUUCUGUAAGCCUGUGAAGGUGGCCUGUGAGGGUUGCUGGAGGUAUCAGAAGUGCGAAUGCUGACAUAAGUAACGAUAAAGCGGGUGAAAAGCCCGCUCGCCGGAAGACCAAGGGUUCCUGUCCAACGUUAAUCGGGGCAGGGUGAGUCGACCCCUAAGGCGAGGCCGAAAGGCGUAGUCGAUGGGAAACGGGUUAAUAUUCCCGUACUUGGUGUUACUGCGAAGGGGGGACGGAGAAGGCUAUGUUGGCCGGGCGACGGUUGUCCCGGUUUAAGCGUGUAGGUGUGUGUUCCAGGUAAAUCCGGUUCACUUUAACACUGAGGCGUGAUGACGAGGCACUACGGUGCUGAAGCAACAAAUGCCCUGCUUCCAGGAAAAGCCUCUAAGCAUCAGGUAACAUCAAAUCGUACCCCAAACCGACACAGGUGGUCAGGUAGAGAAUACCAAGGCGCUUGAGAGAACUCGGGUGAAGGAACUAGGCAAAAUGGUGCCGUAACUUCGGGAGAAGGCACGCUGACAUGUAGGUGAAGUGAUUUACUCAUGGAGCUGAAGUCAGUCGAAGAUACCAGCUGGCUGCAACUGUUUAUUAAAAACACAGCACUGUGCAAACACGAAAGUGGACGUAUACGGUGUGACGCCUGCCCGGUGCCGGAAGGUUAAUUGAUGGGGUCAGCGCAAGCGAAGCUCCUGAUCGAAGCCCCGGUAAACGGCGGCCGUAACUAUAACGGUCCUAAGGUAGCGAAAUUCCUUGUCGGGUAAGUUCCGACCUGCACGAAUGGCGUAAUGAUGGCCAGGCUGUCUCCACCCGAGACUCAGUGAAAUUGAACUCGCUGUGAAGAUGCAGUGUACCCGCGGCAAGACGGAAAGACCCCGUGAACCUUUACUAUAGCUUGACACUGAACAUUGAGCCUUGAUGUGUAGGAUAGGUGGGAGGCUUUGAAGUGUGGACGCCAGUCUGCAUGGAGCCGACCUUGAAAUACCACCCUUUAAUGUUUGAUGUUCUAACGUGGACCCGUAAUCCGGGUUGCGGACAGUGUCUGGUGGGUAGUUUGACUGGGGCGGUCUCCUCCUAAAGAGUAACGGAGGAGCACGAAGGUUGGCUAAUCCUGGUCGGACAUCAGGAGGUUAGUGCAAUGGCAUAAGCCAGCUUGACUGCGAGCGUGACGGCGCGAGCAGGUGCGAAAGCAGGUCAUAGUGAUCCGGUGGUUCUGAAUGGAAGGGCCAUCGCUCAACGGAUAAAAGGUACUCCGGGGAUAACAGGCUGAUACCGCCCAAGAGUUCAUAUCGACGGCGGUGUUUGGCACCUCGAUGUCGGCUCAUCACAUCCUGGGGCUGAAGUAGGUCCCAAGGGUAUGGCUGUUCGCCAUUUAAAGUGGUACGCGAGCUGGGUUUAGAACGUCGUGAGACAGUUCGGUCCCUAUCUGCCGUGGGCGCUGGAGAACUGAGGGGGGCUGCUCCUAGUACGAGAGGACCGGAGUGGACGCAUCACUGGUGUUCGGGUUGUCAUGCCAAUGGCACUGCCCGGUAGCUAAAUGCGGAAGAGAUAAGUGCUGAAAGCAUCUAAGCACGAAACUUGCCCCGAGAUGAGUUCUCCCUGAGACUUUAGGUCUCCUGAAGGAACGUUGAAGACGACGACGUUGAUAGGCCGGGUGUGUAAGCGCAGCGAUGCGUUGAGCUAACCGGUACUAAUGAACCGUGAGGCUUAACCUUACAACGCCGAAG
rnacentral:rRNA from 1 species